GUACACACCGCCCGUCACGCCAUGAAAGCUGUUUGUACCCGAAAUCRUCUUAGCUAACUCGCAAGAGAGGCGGAUGCUGAAGGUAUGGAGAGUGRUUGGGGCGAAGUCGUAACRAGGUAWCCGUAGGUGAACCUGCAGAAGGAUCA
rnacentral:rRNA from 1 species